GAUGAACGCUGGCGGCGUGCCUAAUACAUGCCAGUCGAGCGAACGGACGAGAAGCUUGCUUCUCUGAUGUUAGCGGCGGACGGGUGAGUAACACGUGGAUAACCUACCUAUAAGACUGGGAUAACUUCGGGAAACCGGAGCUCAUACCGGAUGAUAUUUUGAACCGCAUGGUUCAAAAGUGAAAGACGGUCUUGCUGUCACUUAUAGAUGGAUCCGCGCUGCAUUAGCUAGUUGGUAAGGUAACGGCUUACCAAGGCAACGAUGCAUAGCCGACCUGAGAGGGUGAUCGGCCACACUGGAACUGAGACACGGUCCAGACUCCUACGGGAGGCAGCAGUAGGGAAUCUUCCGCAAUGGGCGAAAGCCUGACGGAGCAACGCCGCGUGAGUGAUGAAGGUCUUCGGAUCGUAAAACUCUGUUAUUAGGGAAGAACAUAUGUGUAAGUAACUGUGCACAUCUUGACGGUACCUAAUCAGAAAGCCACGGCUAACUACGUG
rnacentral:rRNA from 1 species